rnacentral:rRNA from 1 species
UACAGAGGUCCCCAAGCGUUUGUUCGGAUUCACUGGGCGUAAGGGUGCGUAGGUGGUUCUGCAAGUCUGAUGUGAAAUCUCCGGGCUUAACCCGGAAAUGGCAUUGGAAACUGCAGGGCUAGAGUGUUGGAGGGGGGACUGGAAUUCUCGGUGUAGCAGUGAAAUGCGUAGAUAUCGAGAGGAACACCAGUGGCGAAGGCGAGUCCCUGGACAACGCUGACACUGAGGCACGAAAGCUAGGGGAGCAAACAGG